rnacentral:rRNA from 1 species
GAUUCCGGGAGUAGUGGCGAGCGAAACCGGAUGAGGCUAAACCGUAUGUGUGUGAUACCCGGCAGGGGUUGCGCAUGCGGGGUUGUGGGAUCGCACUUCAGCAGUCUGCCGGCUGUUGGGUGAGUCAGAAACCAUUGCGAUAGGCGAAGGGCAUGCGAAAGGCCCGGCGUAGAGGGUAAGACCCCCGUAGCUGAAAUCGUGAUGGCUUGCUUGUGCGACACCCAAGUAGCACGGGGCCCGAGAAAUCCCGUGUGAAUCUGGCGGGACCACCCGCUAAGCCUAAAUAUUCCCUGGUGACCGAUAGCGGAUA